UACGGAGGGGGCAAGCGUUAUCCGGAUUUACUGGGUGUAAAGGGAGCGUAGACGGUAAUGCAAGUCUGGAGUGAAAACCCGGGGCUCAACCCCGGGACUGCUUUGGAAACUGUAUAACUGGAGUGCCGGAGAGGUAAGCGGAAUUCCUAGUGUAGCGGUGAAAUGCGUAGAUAUUAGGAGGAACACCAGUGGCGAAGGCGGCUUACUGGACGGUAACUGACGUUGAGGCUCGAAAGCGUGGGGAGCAAACAGG
rnacentral:rRNA from 1 species